AUGGCCUUAGUUAGGAGGUAUGGAAAGCCAGACAUCUUCCUCACAAUGACAUGCAACCCAAACUGGGAUGAGAUUAGGCAGGAGCUCUACCCUGGCCAGACACCUCAAGAUCGUCCAGAUCUCGUCGUUCGUGUUUUCAGGGCUAAGUUGGAAGAACUCAAAAAUAAGCUACUUAAAAAGGAUAUCUUGGGCAAGGUGAGGGCUUAUGUGUAUGUGGUGGAGUUCCAAAAGAGGGGCCUG
rnacentral:rRNA from 1 species